GUCUCUGCGGGGACACCCGACAAAUUGAAACGAUAUGGAGAAGAUCAGCAUGACUUCUGUGCAAAGAGGGCACAGCAUGCACAAACCGAUAAGUAGUUCAAAUUUUU